rnacentral:rRNA from 1 species
AUUGAACGCUGGCGGCAGGCCUAACACAUGCAAGUCGAGCGGAGCGGCGGACGGGUGAGUAAUGCCUAGGAAUCUGCCUGGUAGUGGGGGAGAACGUCCGGAAACGGGCGCUAAUACCGCAUACUAUCAGAUGAACCUAGGUCGGAUUAUCUAGUUGGGGGGGUAAAGGCCUACCAAGGCGACGAUCCGUAACUGGUUGGAGAGGAUGAUCAGUCACACUGGAACUUGUACACGGGCCAGAAUCCUACGGUAGGGAGCAGUGGGGAAGAUUGGACAAUGGGUGAAAGCCUGCUCCAGCCAUGCCGCGUGUGUGAAGAAGGUCUUCGGAGUGUAAAGCACUUUAAGUUGGGAGGCGGUACCAACAGAAUAAGCACCGGCUAACUUCGUGCCAGCAGCCGCGGUAAUAC